ACUCACGCGGGAUGCGCAGGGCGCCGACAAGCAGGCGUCCACACUGGGUCUGCAGGGAUGCGUGGGCAGGCCUGGUGGUUGUAGGUCUGCAGGAGUUCGUGGAUAUGCGUGUGCGCGAUCCCGCGUGGAAGGCACGGUGGACAUGCGUGUGCACGAUCCCGCGUGAAAUGCACGCUCAACAGGAAGACCCUCCCGUCUCGGCCUCGGUUUCUCUGGCUGUGAAAUGGAAGGAUAGUUUCUUAGGGUAUAUGGGCAUCACCUCCCCACCUGUGCCGUGCUAAUCCCACCAACUCUGGCUGUUUCUGGAGCUUCCUGCAGGCAAUGGUCUAAGCCCUAGGAGAACUCAAAUGAUGGAAAAUCGCAAGUGGGGUGUAGGACUCCUCACAUUCCUGUGAACCCCUUCAGGCAUGGAAGGACGGACACCUCAGGAGAGGAUGGCUGGGGUGGAUAGCACAGGUAGAGGCUUGAGGGGAAGAGAGGGGAAAUUUGCGUGUCCAAAAUGCUGGCCGGGGGCAGUGGCUGACGCCUGUUAUCCCAGCACUUUGGGAGGCAGAGGUUGCAGUGAACCGAGAUCGCAGCACUGCACUCCAGCCUGGGCGACAGAGCAAGACUCCAUCUCAAAAAAAAAAAAAAAAAAAAAAAAAAAAAGAAAGAAAGAAAGAAAAUAAAAGAGGCCAGACACAAUGGCUCACGCCUGUAAUCCCAGCACUUUGGGAGGCCGAGGCGGGCGGAUCACCUGAGGUCGAGAGUUCGAGACCAGCCUGACAAAUAUGGAGAAACCCCAUCUCUACUAAAAAUACAAAAUUAGCUGGGCGUGGUGGCACAUGCCUGUAAUCCCAGCUACUUGGGAGGCUGAGGCAGGAGAAUCGCUUGAACCCAGGAGGCGAAGGUUGCAGUGAGCCAAGAUCACACCAUUGCACUCCAACCUGGGCAACAAGAGCGAAACUCUGUCUUAAAAAAAAAGAAAGAAAGAAAAGAAAAAACAAAAUGUGUGUCUCUGCAUCAGCGCCUGUGUGUGUGCACCGGGCUCUGGCUUCUGGAGGUGAACAAAUCAAAGUGGACUCAGGUGUCUCCUGGACAUGAGUGUGUACUCGCAGGUGUGUGCAGGCGUGGGCUUCCUUCCACCCCUGUGGAUGUCUAGAAUGUUGGUUCCCAGGAUCUUUUUGUUGUUUGAAGAUGUGCAAAUGCCUGGUAUGCAGAAUAGAAACAUUCAGUACAUAUUUGCAAAA
rnacentral:lncRNA from 1 species